rnacentral:rRNA from 1 species
AGGGCGUACGGUGGAUGCCUUGGCACUAGGAGCCGAUGAAGGACGCGACGAACAGCGAUAUGCUUCGGGGAGCAGUAAGUAUGCUUUGAUCCGAAGAUUUCCGAAUGGGGGAACCCACCAUCUGUAAUGGGAUGGGACAUGUUACAUGAAUACAUAGUGUAGCGUGAGGCAGACCCGGGGAACUGAAACAUCUAAGUACCCGGAGGAAGAGAAAGCAAAUGCGAUUCCCUGAGUAGCGGCGAGCGAAACGGGAACAGCCCAAACCGAAGAGCAUGCUCUUCGGGGUUGUAGGACACUCUAUACGGAGUCAAAAAGGAAGACAGUAGGUGAAGGACCUGGAAAGGUCGGCCGAAGAAGGUGACAGCCCUGUAGCUGAAACUGUUUUCCCUCCAGAGUGGAUCCUGAGUACGGCGGGACACGUGAAACCCCGUCGGAAUCCGGGAGGACCAUCUCCCAAGGCUAAAUACUCCCUAGUGACCGAUAGUGAACCAGUACCGUGAGGGAAAGGUGAAAAGCACCCCGGAAGGGGAGUGAAAUAGAUCCUGAAACCGUAUGCCUACAAGUAGUCAGAGCCCGUUAAUGGGUGAUGGCGUGCCUUUUGUAGAAUGAACCGGCGAGUUACGAUAACGCGCGAGGUUAAGCCGAUGAGGCGGAGCCGUAGCGAAAGCGAGUCUGAACAGGGCGUUCAGUGCGUUGUCGUAGACCCGAAACCAGGUGAUCUACCCAUGUCCAGGAUGAAGGUCAGGUAACACUGACUGGAGGUCCGAACCCACGCACGUUGAAAAGUGCGGGGAUGAGGUGUGGGUAGCGGUGAAAUGCCAAUCGAACCUGGAGAUAGCUGGUUCUCCCCGAAAUAGCUUUAGGGCUAGCCUCGAGGUUGAGAGUUCUGGAGGUAGAGCACUGAUUGGACUAGGGGCCCCCACAGGGUUACCGAAUUCAGUUAAACUCCGAAUGCCAGCAACUUAUACUCGGGAGUCAGACUGCGAGUGAUAAGAUCCGUAGUCAAGAGGGAAACAGCCCAGACCGCCAGCUAAGGUCCCAAAGUGUAUGUUAAGUGGAAAAGGAUGUGGCGCUGCCUAGACAGCUAGGAUGUUGGCUUAGAAGCAGCCACCAUUCAAAGAGUGCGUAAUAGCUCACUAGUCGAGUGGCGCCGCGCCGAAAAUGUAACGGGGCUAAACAUACCACCGAAGCUGCGGAUUCCGUAAGGAAUGGUAGGGGAGCGUUCCAAACCGCUGUGAAGCUGUACCGGAAGGAGCAGUGGAGCGUUUGGAAGUGAGAAUGCCGGUGUGAGUAGCGAAAAGAGGGGUGAGAAUCCCCUCCGUCGAAAGCCCAAGGUUUCCUGAGGAAGGCUCGUCCGCUCAGGGUUAGUCUGGACCUAAGCCGAGGCCGAAAGGCGUAGGCGAUGGAUAACAGGUUGAUAUUCCUGUACCGCCGAUCCACCGUUUGAACAAUGGGGGGACGCAGGAGGAUAGUGACGCAUGCGGAUGGAAGUGCAUGUGCAAGUUUCAAGACCGUCUGAUUGGCAAAUCCGUCAGGCAUCAAAGUCAAGGAACGAUGCGGAGUCCCGUAGGGACGUAGGUCACGAUUUCACACUGCCAAGAAAAGCCUCUAGUGAGGGGGAAGGCGCCAGUACCGUAAACCGACACAGGUAGGCGAGAUGAGAAUUCUAAGACGCGCGGGAUAACUCUCGUUAAGGAACUCGGCAAAAUGGUCCCGUAACUUCGGGAGAAGGGACGCUCUACACAUGUAGAGCCGCAGUGAAUAGGCCCAAACGACUGUUUAGCAAAAACACAGGUCUCUGCUAAAUCGCAAGAUGACGUAUAGGGGCUGACGCCUGCCCGGUGCUGGAAGGUUAAGGGGAUGGGUUAGCGCAAGCGAAGCUUUGAACCGAAGCCCCAGUAAACGGCGGCCGUAACUAUAACGGUCCUAAGGUAGCGAAAUUCCUUGUCGGGUAAGUUCCGACCCGCACGAAAGGCGUAACGAUUUGGGCACUGUCUCAACGAGAGACCCGGUGAAAUCAUAGUACCUGUGAAGAUGCAGGUUACCCGCGACAGGACGGAAAGACCCCAUGGAGCUUUACUACAGCCUGAUAUUGAGGCUUUGUGCAUGAUGUACAGGAUAGGCGGGAGACGUCGAGCCCGGAGCGCCAGCUUCGGAGGAGUCACCCUUGGGAUACCGCCCUUCAUGCAUAGAGUCUCUAACUCGCAGCCGUAAUCCGGCUGGAGGACCGUGUCAGGCGGGUAGUUUGACUGGGGCGGUCGCCUCCUAAACAGUAACGGAGGCGCCCAAAGGUUCCCUCAGAAUGGUUGGAAAUCAUUCGUAGAGCGCAAAGGCAGAAGGGAGCUUGACUGCGAGACCUACAAGUCGAGCAGGGACGAAAGUCGGGCUUAG